GACGAACGCUGGCGGCGUGCUUAACACAUGCAAGUCGAACGGAAAGGCCCUGCUUUUGUGGGGUGCUCGAGUGGCGAACGGGUGAGUAACACGUGAGUAACCUGCCCUUGACUUUGGGAUAACUUCAGGAAACUGGGGCUAAUACCGGAUAGGAGCUCCUGCUGCGUGGUGGGGGUUGGAAAGUUUCGGCGGUUGGGGAUGGACUCGCGGCUUAUCAGCUUGUUGGUGGGGUAGUGGCUUACCAAGGCUUUGACGGGUAGCCGGCCUGAGAGGGUGGACGGCCACCUUGGGCCUGCGGGACGGCCCAGACUCCUACGGGGGGCAGCAGUGGGGAAUAUUGCACAAUGGGCGGAAGCCUGAUGCAGCAACGCCGCGUGCGGGAUGACGGUCUUCGGGUUGUAAACCGCUUUCGCCUGUGACGAAGCGUGAGUGACGGUAAUGAGUAAAGAAGCACCGGCUAACUACGUG
rnacentral:rRNA from 1 species